UUCAGCCGCGAUAGCACGUUGAAUACCACAGUUUCCAAUGGAUCACUGAAGUUAAGCAACGUUGAGCGUGGUUAGUAUCCGGAUGGGUACAAAGAAUGGGUACCUAAAC
rnacentral:rRNA from 1 species